rnacentral:rRNA from 1 species
CUGCGAACAGAGAGAGGCGAAGCCGCGAGGCAGAGCGAACCUCAGAAAAGCAGUCUCAGUUCGGAUUGGAGGCUGAAACCCGCCUCCAUGAAGCCGGAAUUGCUAGUAAUCGCGGAUCAGCAUGCCGCGGUGAAUACGUUCCCGGGCCUUGUACACACCGCCCGUCACACCAUGAGAGCCGGGGGGACCCGAAGUCCGUAGCCUAACCGCGAAGGGGGGCGCGGCCGAAGGUAAAACUGGUGAUUGGGGUGAAGUCGUAACAAGGUACC